rnacentral:rRNA from 1 species
UGCAAGUCGAACGGCAGCAUAGAGAGCUUGCUCUCUGAUGGCGAGUGGCGAACGGGUGAGUAAUAUAUCGGAACGUACCUAGUAAUGGGGAAUAACUAGCCGAAAGGUUGGCUAAUACCGCAUACGACCUACGGGUGAAAGCAGGGGAUCUUCGGACCUUGCGUUAUUAGAGCGGCCGAUAUCUGAUUAGGUAGUUGGUGGGGUAAAGGCCUACCAAGCUGACGAUCAGUAGCUGGUCUGAGAGGACGAUCAGCCACACUGGAACUGAGACACGGUCCAGACUCCUACGGGAGGCAGCAGUGGGGAAUUUUGGACAAUGGGGGCAACCCUGAUCCAGCCAUUCCGCGUGAGUGAAGAAGGCCUUCGGGUUGUAAAGCUCUUUCGCAAGAGAAGAAAUCUUAUUAUCAAAUAAAUAGUAAGGAUGACGGUAUCUUGAGAAGAAGCACCGGCUAACUACGUGCCAGCAGCCGCGGUAAUACGUAGGGUGCGAGCGUUAAUCGGAAUUACUGGGCGUAAAGCGUGCGCAGGCGGUUUUAUAAGUCAGAUGUGAAAUCCCCGAGCUCAACUUGGGAACUGCGUUUGAAACUGUAAGACUAGAGUGUGUCAGAGGGGGGUAGAAUUCCACGUGUAGCAGUGAAAUGCGUAGAGAUGUGGAGGAAUACCAAUGGCGAAGGCAGCCCCCUGGGAUAACACUGACGCUCAUGCACGAAAGCGUGGGGAGCAAACAGGAUUAGAUACCCUGGUAGUCCACGCCCUAAACGAUGUCUACUAGUUGUUGGUGGAGUAAAAUCCAUGA